CUCACCGGAAGAAUUUGUCUGA
rnacentral:miRNA from 1 species